rnacentral:rRNA from 1 species
ACGCCGCGUGAGUGAUGAAGGUUUUCGGAUCGUAAAACUCUGUUGUAAGGGAAGAACAAGUGCGUUAGGUAAUGAACGCACCUUGACGGUACCUUAUUAGAAAGCCACGGCUAACUACGUGCCAGCAGCCGCGGUAAUACGUAGGUGGCAAGCGUUGUCCGGAUUUAUUGGGCGUAAAGCGCGCGCAGGUGGUUUCUUAAGUCUGAUGUGAAAGCCCACGGCUCAACCGUGGAGGGUCAUUGGAAACUGGGGAACUUGAGUGCAGAAGAGGAUAGUGGAAUUCCAAGUGUAGCGGUGAAAUGCGUAGAGAUUUGGAGGAACACCAGUGGCGAAGGCGACUGUCUGGUCUGUAACUGACACUGAGGCGCGAAAGCGUGGGGAGCAAACAGGAUUAGAUACCCUGGUAGUCCACGCCGUAAACGAUGAGUGCUAAGUGUUAGGGGGUUUCCGCCCCUUAGUGCUGCAGCUAACGCAUUAAGCACUCCGCCUGGGGAGUACGACCGCAAGGUNGAAACUCAAAGGAAUNGACGGGGGCCCGCACAAGCGGUGGAGCAUGUG